CCCUUAGAUGUUCUGGGCUGCACGCGUGCUACACUGAUAUUGCCAAUAUGUCAUUCUUAUCCGAAAUGGAUUGGGUAAUCAAGUAAUGAAAUUUCAUGCUUGGAAUCGGUAAUUGCAAUUUUAUCGUGAACGAGGAAUUCCUAGUAAGCGCAAGUCAGCAGCUUGCGCUGAUUACGUCCCUGCCCUUUGUACACACCGCCCGUCGCUCCUACCGAUGGGUGAUCCGGUGAAUGAUUCGGACUUCAGCGGCUCCUCUGGGGUGCGCCGGAGAAAGUUUUGUGAACCUUAUCACUUGGAGGAAGGAGAAGUCGUAACA
rnacentral:rRNA from 1 species